UACGGAGGGUGCGAGCGUUAAUCGGAAUUACUGGGCGUAAAGGGUGCGUAGGUUGUUAGUUAAGUUAUCUGUAAAAUCCCUGGGCUCAACCUGGGCAUGCCAGAUAAGACUGAUUGACUCGAGUAUGGGAGAGGGUAGUGGAAUUUCCGGUGUAGCGGUGAAAUGCGUAGAUAUCUGGAGGAACACCGGUGGCGAAGGCGGCAUUCUGGACUGUAACUGACACUGAGGAACGAAAGCCAGGGGAGCAAACGGG
rnacentral:rRNA from 1 species